UGCCCUACGGGGGGCAGCAGCAAGGAAUUUUCCACAAUGGGCGCAAGCCUGAUGGAGCAACGCCGCGUGCGGGAUGACGCCCUUCGGGGUGUAAACCGCUUUUCGAGGGGACGAAGGCAAUGACGGUACCCUCGGAAUAAGGAUCGGCUAACUACGUGCCAGCAGCCGCGGUAAGACGUAGGAUCCGAGCGUUGUCCGGAGUUACUGGGCGUAAAGCGCGCGCAGGCGGAUACGCGCAUCGGCGGGGAAAGCCCCCCGCUCAACGGGGGAGGGUCCGUCGAGAUGGCGUGUCUGGAGGCAGGGAGAGGCCAGUGGAAUUCCGGGUGUAGUGGUGAAAUGCGUAGAGAUCCGGAGGAACACCAGUGGCGAAGGCGGCUGGCUGGACCUGACCUGACGCUGAGGCGCGAAGGCGUGGGGAGCGAACGGGAUUAGAUACCCUAGUAGUCCG
rnacentral:rRNA from 1 species